rnacentral:misc_RNA from 1 species
AACGCACAUUGCGCCCCUUGGUAUUCCAUGGGGCAUGCCUGUUCGAGCGUCAUUUGUACCCUCAAGCUUUGCUUGGUGUUGGGUGUUUGUCCGCGUCUGACGCAGACUCGCCUUGAAUCAAUUGGCAGCCGGCAUGUUAGCCUGGAGCGCAGCACAUUUUGCGCACCUUGCUGGCGGUGUUGGCCCCCAUCAAGUCCAUAUAUUUGCUCUUGACCUCGGAUCAGGUAGGGAUACCCGCUGAACUUAA